rnacentral:rRNA from 1 species
UAAUACGAAGGGGGCUAGCGUUGUUCGGAAUUACUGGGCGUAAAGCGCGUGUAGGCGGUUUUCCAAGUUGGGUGUGAAAGCCUUGGGCUUAACCCAAGAAAUGCACUCAGUACUGGAAGACUAGAGGACCGGAGAGGAUAGUGGAAUUCCCAGUGUAGUGGUGAAAUACGUAGAGAUUGGGAAGAACACCAGUGGCGAAGGCGGCUAUCUGGACGGUUUCUGACGCUAAGACGCGAAAGCGUGGGGAGCAAACAGGAUUAGAUACCCUGGUAGUCCACGCCGUAAACGAUGGGUGCUAGACGUUGGCGAGCUUGCUCGUCAGUGUCGCAGCUAACGCGUUAAGCACCCCGCCUGGGGAGUACGGCCGCAAGGUU